AGCGUUUAAAAAUCUCUCAGUCCUUUAAUAGAGAUCGCGGAUCUAGCAACACCGCUCUCCGACUUCCACCUCUUGGUUCACUGCACAUCCAACCCCUCCGCCCCAGCAGGCAUUUCCUCCACCGGAAUAAAAUUCCGAUCCACUCUUCAGACAAUUCGAUCCGGUACUUAGUGUGAAAUGGAGAAGUCAUGCUCUUUGCUGAUACAUUUUGACAAGAGCACUCCAGCUAUUGCCAAUGAGAUCAAGGAAUCCCUUGAAGGGAAUGAUGUCUCUGCCAAGAUUGAGGCCAUGAAGAAAGCAAUCAUGCUUUUGUUAAAUGGGGAAACUCUACCCCAGUUAUUUAUCACGAUUAUUAGAUAUGUGUUGCCAUCUGAGGACCACACAAUUCAGAAACUGUUGUUGUUGUAUUUGGAGAUCAUUGAGAAGACAGACUCUAAGGGACGUGUGCUACCUGAGAUGAUCUUGAUCUGCCAGAACUUGAGGAAUAAUUUGCAGCAUCCGAAUGAGUACAUCCGUGGAGUUACUCUGAGGUUCCUUUGCCGCCUGAAUGAGGUUGAUAUCAUUGAACCUCUGAUUCCUUCCAUUAUGAGCAACUUGGAGCACCGGCAUCCAUAUGUACGGAGGAAUGCAAUUCUUGCUAUCAUGUCUGUAUACAAGCUUCCACAAGGCGAGCAGCUUUUGGCAGAUGCUCCUGAGAAGAUUGAGAAUGUUCUUUCUACAGAACAGGACCCAUCAGCUAAGAGGAAUGCAUUUCUGAUGCUUUUCCAUUGUUCCCAGGAACGUGCAAUUAAUUAUCUACUGACAAAUGUGGAUAGAAUUCCAGACUGGGGUGAGUUACUUCAGAUGGUUGUCUUGGAUUUGAUUCGAAAAGUUUGCAGGACUAACAAAGCAGAGAAGGGGAGGUAUAUAAAGAUUAUUAUAUCUCUGCUAAAUGCCCCUUCUGCUGCUGUUAUCUAUGAAUGUGCUGGAACUCUUGUUUCUUUGUCUUCGGCCCCUACAGCUAUUAGAGCUGCUGCUAAUACUUACUGUCAGCUUCUUCUCUCUCAGAGUGACAACAAUGUUAAGCUUAUAGUACUUGAUCGGCUCAAUGAACUAAAAUCUUCUCACAGAGAUAUUAUGGUUGAUAUGAUAAUGGAUGUUCUUAGAGCACUUUCGAGCCCAAACCUGGACAUUAGGAGGAAAACGCUUGACAUUGUUCUGGAAUUGAUCACUCCCAGAAAUAUUAAUGAGGUUGUCCUCACGCUGAAGAAAGAAGUUGUGAAGACUCAAGCUGGGGAGCUUGAGAAGAAUGGGGAAUACCGUCAAAUGCUUAUCCAAGCCAUUCAUUCUUGUGCAGUAAAGUUCCCAGAAGUAGCAAGCACAGUGGUCCAUCUGUUGAUGGAUUUCUUGGGUGACAACAAUGUUGCUUCUGCUAUUGAUGUGGUUGUUUUUGUGAGAGAAAUAAUUGAAACCAACCCAAAAUUGAGGGUUUCCAUUGUUACUAGGUUACUGGACACUUUCUACCAGAUCCGUGCUGCACGAGUCUGUUCCUGCGCACUUUGGAUCAUUGGAGAGUAUUGUCUCUCUCUUUCUGAAGUUGAGAGUGGUAUUGCAACUAUCAAGCAGUGCCUAGGUGAACUCCCAUUUUACUCAGCUUCUGAAGAAGGGGAAGCUGCUGAUUCUUCAAAAAAGCCUCAACAAGUGAACUCCAUUACUGUUUCAUCUCGAAGACCUGCUAUCCUUGCUGAUGGUACCUAUGCUACUCAAAGCGCAGCCUCUGAAACUGCUUUCUCUCCUCCAACUGUUGUCCAAGGAUCUUUGACUACUGGAAACUUGAGAUCUCUUCUUCUUACUGGUGAUUUCUUCCUGGGAGCAGUUAUUGCAUGCACACUGACAAAGCUGACACUAAGGUUGGAAGAAGUUCAACCAUCAAAAGUUGAAGUGAACAAAGCAACCACAGAUGCAUUAUUGAUUAUGGUCUCAAUAAUUCAGCUUGGGCAGUCUUCAGUUCUUCCUCAUCCAAUUGAUAAUGAUUCUCAUGACAGGAUUGUGCUUUGUAUAAGAUUGCUAUGUAACACUGGGGAUGAAGUCAGGAAGAUCUGGUUGAAAUCUUGCCGAGAGAGUUUUGUGAAAAUGCUAUCAGAUAAACAACUGCGUGAGACUGAGGAGAUUAAAGCAAAGGCUCAAAUCUCUCACUCCCAACCAGAUGAUCUCAUUGAUUUCUAUCAUUUGAAGAGCAGGAGGGGCAUGAGCCAAUUGGAGCUGGAAGAUCAAGUGCAGGAUGAUCUGAAGCGUGCUACCGGAGAAUUUGUCAAAGACGAGAAUGAUGCCAAUAAACUAAAUCGUAUUCUUCAACUGACUGGAUUUAGUGACCCAGUUUAUGCUGAGGCUUAUGUUACAGUUCAUCAUUAUGAUAUUGUCCUGGAUGUUACUGUAAUCAAUAGAACCAAGGAGACCCUACAGAAUUUAUGUUUGGAAUUAGCCACUAUGGGUGAUCUCAAACUAGUUGAGCGUCCUCAGAAUUACACUCUUGCUCCUGAGUCAAACAAGCAGAUCAAAGCAAACAUCAAGGUCUCCUCAACAGAGACUGGAGUCAUUUUUGGCAACAUUGUAUAUGAGACUUCAAAUGUGCUUGAGCGCACUGUUGUUGUGCUAAACGACAUUCAUAUUGACAUCAUGGAUUAUAUCUCCCCUGCAGUGUGCAGUGAUGCUGCUUUUAGAACUAUGUGGGCAGAAUUUGAGUGGGAGAACAAGGUUGCUGUCAAUACUGUCAUUCAAGACGAGAAAGAAUUUCUGGACCAUAUUAUCAAAUCAACCAAUAUGAAGUGCUUGACGGCUCUAUCUGCACUGGAGGGUGAAUGUGGAUUCCUAGCUGCUAACUUGUAUGCCAAGAGUGUGUUUGGGGAGGAUGCUUUGGUGAAUGUGAGCAUUGAGAAACAAGCAGAUGGUAAGCUGAGUGGUUAUAUUAGGAUAAGGAGCAAAACUCAAGGAAUUGCUCUCAGCUUGGGGGACAAAAUCACUCUCAAGCAGAAAGGUGGCAGCUGAUCCAGUAAACACAAUGUUAGAGUCAGUGAAUUAUUCUGAUAGAAGAGGUGAUUGUUGGUCUCUAAAAUUAGCUCAGAUAUGAUUUGCUGGGUUUUAAUUUGAGGCUUCUUCUGGUCUUCCGCUUGCAGCUCGGAAGGUGCUGGCAACUACUAAAAGAACCUGUAGAAUUUUAUUACUGCCUUUCUUCUUUUUUUUUUUCACAUUUCAAUUGGAGUCUUUUGCAGAAAAUUUUUGUAGAGAAGACUUGAAUAUUUGAUAGGAAUACCUUUUCUUGCCUUUUGUUUGGUUUGAGUGUAUAAUCUUUAUCCACUUAGAAGUCUGAGUUCUAAUUGCUCCUGCCCAGUGAAGACCUGAAGAAAUAAAGACAACAUCGGAACUUCUGAUUUCCUUACAGU